CAGAGUUAGGGUCUUCCAGGCCCGACCUCCAACCCUUUGUCUACCUACUAUUUGUUGCUUCGGCGAGCCCGCCCCUUGGACUAUAGGGGCCGCCGGAGGUGUGAAAACCUCUGGUCCGCGCUCGUCGAUAGCCAUUAUUAAACUCUUUUUAACCAUGUUGUCUAAGUAAAGCACUUAAUAAAUUA
rnacentral:misc_RNA from 1 species